rnacentral:rRNA from 1 species
UACGUAGGUGGCAAGCGUUGUCCGGAUUUACUGGGCGUAAAGGGCGUGCAGGCGGUUUGUUAAGUGCAGGGUGAAAGCCCCCGGCUCAACUGGGGAGGGUCACUCGAUACUGAUCGACUCGAAGGCAGGAGAGGGAAGCGGAAUUCCCGGUGUAGUGGUGAAAUGCGUAGAUAUCGGGAGGAACACCAGUGGCGAAGGCGGCUUUCUGGCCUGCUCUUGACGCUGAGGCGCGAAAGCUAGGGUAGCAAACGGG